GUCCUUAACAUAGAUGGUUGACAGUGCU
rnacentral:piRNA from 1 species